rnacentral:tRNA from 1 species
GGGUUCGUAGCUCAGCUGGUUAGAGCGUCGCGUUGACAUCGCGGAGGCCAGAGGUUCAAGUCCUCUCGAACCCACCA